rnacentral:rRNA from 1 species
GUGCCAGCAGCCGCGGUAAUACGGAGGGUGCAAGCGUUGUCCGGAUUUAUUGGGUUUAAAGGGUGCGUAGGCGGCUUAUUAAGUCAGGGGUGAAAGACUGCAGCUCAACUGUAGCAGUGCCUUUGAUACUGAUGAGCUUGAGUACAGAUGAGGCUGGCGGAAUGGGUGGUGUAGCGGUGAAAUGCAUAGAUACCAUCCAGAACACCGAUUGCGAAGGCAGCCGGCUAAACUGUAACUGACGCUGAGGCACGAAAGCGUGGGGAUCGAACAGGAUUAGAUACCCCUGUAGUCC